AACGAACGCUGGCGGCAUGCCUAACACAUGCCAGUCGAACGAGACCUUCGGGUCUAGUGGCGCACGGGUGCGUAACGCGUGGGAACCUGCCCUUAGGUUCGGAAUAACUCCCCUAAAGGGGUGCUAAUACCGGAUAAUGUCUUCGGACCAAAGAUUUAUCGCCUUUGGAUGGGCCCGCGUUGGAUUAGCUAGUUGGUAGGGUAAAAGCCUACCAAGGCGACGAUCCAUAGCUGGUCUGAGAGGAUGAUCAUCCACACUGGGACUGAGACACGGCCCAGACUGCUACGGGAGGCAGCAGUGGGGAAUAUUAGACAAUGGGCGAAAGCCUGAUCCAGCAAUGCCGCGUGAGUGAUGAAGGCCUUAGGGUUGUAAAGCUCUUUUACCCGGGAUGAUAAUGACAGUACCGGGAGAAUAAGCUCCGGCUAACUCCGUG
rnacentral:rRNA from 1 species